UACGUAGGGGGCAAGCGUUGUCCGGAAUCAUUGGGCGUAAAGAGCGCGUAGGCGGUCCGAUAAGUCGGCUGUGAAAGUCAGGGGCUCAACCCUUGGAAGCCGGCCGAUACUGUCGGACUAGAGUCCGGAAGAGGCGAGUGGAAUUCCCGGUGUAGCGGUGAAAUGCGCAGAUAUCGGGAGGAACACCAAUGGCGAAGGCAGCUCGCUGGGACGGUACUGACGCUGAGGCGCGAAAGCGUGGGGAGCGAUCCGG
rnacentral:rRNA from 1 species